UACAGAGGAGCCAAGCGUUGUCCGGAUUGACUGGGCGUAAAGCGCACGCAGGCGGAUGCGCGCGUGGGGUGUGAAAUCUGGCCGCUUAACGGCCAGGCGCCAUCCCAUACGGGACAUCUGGAGGGCUGCAGAGGUCGAUGGAAUUGCCGGUGUAGUGGUGAAAUGCGUAGAUAUCGGGAGGAACACCAGUGGCGAAGGCGACUUCCUGGCCUGUUCUUGACGCUGAGGCGCGAAAGCUAGGGUAGCAAACGGG
rnacentral:rRNA from 1 species